AACGAACGCUGGCGGCAGGCUUAACACAUGCAAGUCGAACGCUCACUUCGGUGAGAGUGGCAGACGGGUGAGUAACGCGUGGGAACAUACCUUUCGGUACGGAAUAACUCAGGGAAACUUGUGCUAAUACCGUAUACGCCCCUUGGGGGAAAGAUUUAUCGCCGAAAGAUUGGCCCGCGUCUGAUUAGCUAGUUGGUGGGGUAAUGGCCUACCAAGGCGACGAUCAGUAGCUGGUCUGAGAGGAUGAUCAGCCACAUUGGGACUGAGACACGGCCCAGACUCCUACGGGAGGCAGCAGUGGGGAAUAUUGGACAAUGGGCGCAAGCUUGAUCCAGCCAUGCCGCGUGAGUGAUGAAGGCCUUAGGGUUGUAAAGCUCUUUCACUGGGGAAGAUAAUGACGGUACCCAGAGAAGAAGCCCCGGCUAACUUCGUGCCAGCCGCCGCCGUAACAC
rnacentral:rRNA from 1 species